rnacentral:ribozyme from 1 species
CCUCAAUGAACGGGCAGAAACCUUUACGUAGUGUUGGGGAUCAGUAUUUGCAGUCGAGCCAGCUCCUCGACUGUUUGAGGAAGCCGAGAUCUGCC